AUACGUAGGGGGCGAGCGUUGUCCGGAAUGAUUGGGCGUAAAGGGCGCGUAGGCGGCCCGGUAAGUCUGGAGUGAAAGUCCUGUUUUUAAGAUGGGAAUUGCUUUGGAUACUGUCGGGCUUGAGUGCAGGAGAGGUAAGUGGAAUUCCCAGUGUAGCGGUGAAAUGCGUAGAGAUUGGGAGGAACACCAGUGGCGAAGGCGACUUACUGGACUGUAACUGACGCUGGGGCGCGAAAGGGUGGGGAGCAAACAGGAUUAGAUACCCUGGGAGUCCACACUGUAAACGAUGAAUGCUAGGUGUAGGGGGUAUCGACCCCUUCUGUGCCGCAGUCAACACAAUAAGCAUUCCGCCUGGGGAGUACGGCCGCAAGGUUGAAACUCAAAGGAAUUGACGGGG
rnacentral:rRNA from 1 species